AUGAGGGCUGCUCGUGCAUGACCCUGCCUGCUGGCCUCCAUGGGCCCACUAUCUGAAUGUGGUUACCCUUCUCCCCAGGACCAGGUGCCACCUCCUCUGGGAAGCUUUCCCUGCCCGUCCACAGGGUAUGCCUCCUUGUUCCUCUCCUGCCAUCGGUUUACGUGCCUGUCUCCAUCAACAGACCAGGAGCUCCUGAGGACAGGGACUGAGUCUGCCUGAUUCAUCUCUGCAUUCCUAGCACUUACCUUGGUGCUUAGUGAAAGCUCGAACCUGCCUGGGUUCCCACCUUGUCUCUGCUACCCCCAGCUCUGUGAACUCAGAGUCAUUUUUCUCUCCCCGAGUGGCACCGGGCUCAGCAGACACUCUGGCCAUGAAGGCAUCUUCUGACUCAAGCAGGUCUAGAUGUCUACCCCCAAGGAAUCCCAGAACAGUUGAUCUCUCUUUUUAUUUUUUUAUUUUUUGAGAUGGAGUUUUGCUCUUGUUGCCCAGGCUGGAGUGCAAUGGCGUGAUCUCGGCUCACUGCAACCUCUGCCUCCCAGGUUCAAGCAAUUCUCCUGCCUCAGCCUCCCGAGUAGCUGGGAUUAUAGGCAUGCACCACCACGCCCAGAGCCAACUACUAAGCCUGUAGCAGCCUCCCAAACUGCCCAGUCUUGUUCAGAUGCACCUCCAGAAACACAGGGGUCCAAAAUGCCCCUUCCCAGACACCCUGAGGAGUAGAACAGUGCCAGCAGGCUCCAGGGAUGAGGGACUAGCUACCACAUUCCCUUUCCCAAGCCUCAGUUUCCCCACCUGUAAGAUGAGGGAUAUGGGCUCUGACUUUCUGAGUUUGGAAAAUAAAGUGCUCCCCAAACUGGG
rnacentral:lncRNA from 10 species